rnacentral:rRNA from 1 species
AAAAGGUUUGGUCCUAGCCCUUCCAUCAGUUAUUUCUUAAAUUACACAUGCAAGUCUCAGCACCCCCGUGAGGACACCCUUAUAACCUAACCCAGGCUAAGGCGCCGGUAUCAGGCACAUUCGCCCACAACACCUAGUUCUACCACACCCCCAAGGGUAUUCAGCAGUGAUAAAUAUUGUUUAUAAGCGACAGCUUGACUCAGUUAAAGAAAACAGAGCCGGCCAACUCGGUGCCAGCCGCCGCGGCUAAACCGCAUGGGCUCAAAUUGAUUAUAAUCGGCGUUAAGCGUGAUUAAAGUUCCUCAACAAUUAGAAUAAAAUCCACCCUUAGCUGUGAAAAGCUUGAUAUGAGAGAAAACCAAAACGAAAGUUAUUUUAAUUAACUACUUGAAUACACGACAGCUAGA